rnacentral:rRNA from 1 species
UACGUAGGGAGCAAGCGUUGUCCGGAAUCAUUGGGCGUAAAGCGCGCGUAGGUGGCCUCAUAAGUCCGCUGUGAAAGUCAAAGGCUCAACCUUUGAAAGCCGGUGGAUACUGUGAGGCUAGAGUACGGAAGAGGCGAGUGGAAUUCCGGGUGUAGCGGUGAAAUGCGUAGAGAUCCGGAGGAACACCAGUGGCGCAGGCGGCUCUCUGGGUCGGCCCUGACGCUGAGGCGCGAAAGCGUGGGGAGCGAACGGG